UACGGAGGAUGCGAGCGUUAUCCGGAUUUAUUGGGUUUAAAGGGUGCGUAGGCGGGCUUUUAAGUCAGCGGUAAAAAUUCGGGGCUCAACGCCGUCGAGCCGUUGAAACUGGCGUUCUUGAGUGGGCGAGAAGUAUGCGGAAUGCGUGGUGUAGCGGUGAAAUGCAUAGAUAUCACGCAGAACUCCGAUUGCGAAGGCAGCAUACCGGCGCCCUACUGACGCUGAGGCACGAAAGCGUGGGUAUCGAACAGG
rnacentral:rRNA from 1 species